GAACGCACAUUGCGCCCCUUGGUAUUCCGAGGGGCAUGCCUGUUCGAGCGUCAUUACACCACUCAAGCUAUGCUUGGUAUUGGGCGUCGUCCUUAGUUGGGCGCGCCUUAAAGACCUCGGCGAGGCCACUCCGGCUUUAGGCGUAGUAGAAUUUAUUCGAACGUCUGUCAAAGGAGAGGAACUCUGCCGACUGAAACCUUUAUUUUUCUAGGUUGACCUCGGAUCAGGUAGGGAUACCCGCUGAACUUAAG
rnacentral:misc_RNA from 1 species